UGGGCCGUUAGCUCAGCUGGCAGAGCAGCGGACUUUUAAUCCGUGGGUCCUGGGUUCGAUCCCCAGACGGCCCAU
rnacentral:tRNA from 2 species